AUGGCAGACACCCUAUUUCUUGUUCUCAGAAAAAUUGCUCUCUCCCUCGGAGGAGCGGCGUCAGAGAAGCUGAGCACAGAGGUAGUGGAGGCAGCAUCGGUUCUGACGGAUUUCGAGCAUGGCAUGAAACAGAUCGAGGGCGAGUUCAUGAUUCUGCAGGCAUUUAUUGGCCAGGUUAGCGCACAGAAUGUUGGUGACAAGACAUUUGAUGCCUGGCUGGACCAAGUUAGAGAUGUUGCCCAUCAGGUAGAAGAUAUCAUUGACGAGUAUACUUUCCUCACUUCGCAAGCUGCUGGCAUAGACGGAUUCUUCAAGAGGAAAUUCCAUCAGGCUAAGAGCUUUGCAGCAUGGCGGAACCUGUCAAGCCAGAUUGAUCAAGUAGAAACUCGAAUUCAGCGGCUCACUACAAUGAAAGAUCGUUAUGGAAUUUCUGUAGGAGAACCGGGCAGGAGUAGCACACUACAAUAUGCCAGGCAGCUCUCUCUAUCAGAUUCUUCUUAUCUAUCUGAUGAUACUGAGUUAGUGGGCAAUGCCAGUGAAAUAAGUAUGUUGACACAAUGGCUACUCACAGAGCGACAAGACCGAUUGAUCAUGUCCAUCCUUGGCAUGGGAGGUCUAGGAAAAACAACCAUAGCAAGCAGUAUCUACAAAAAUCAACAGAUUAUCAGAAUGUUUGACUGUCAUGUGUGGGUGACUUUAUCUCAGAAUUAUCUAGUUGAAGACCUACUGAGGCAAAUCAUGAAGCAACUGAUGGACCAAAGAGCCUACAUGGCCAGUGGUAUCGAGACUAUGAGUCGUGUAAGACUAAUUGAGGAACUUCAGAGCUACCUACAGGACAAGAAAUAUAUGAUUGUCUUGGAUGAUGUAUGGGAUAGAGAUGACUGGUUAUUUUUGAAGCGUGCACUUGUAAUAAAUAAUCAUGGAAGUAGAGUGCUAGUGACAACUCGCAAAAAGGAUGUUGCUUCCUUAGCAAAUGACGGAUUUGUUGUGGAGCUUAAAGUUCUUCCUUAUGCUGAAGCAUGGGACCUAUUCUGUCAAAAGGCAUUCCGUAGAUUAGAAGACAAAAUAUGUCCACUAAAUCUGAGGCCUUGGGCAGAUAAAAUUGUGAAGAAGUGCCAAGGACUUCCACUGGCUAUCGUCGCAGUUGGGAGCCUUUUGUCGUACCGAGAACUAGAGGAGCAAGAGUGGAGUUCUCUCCACAACCAACUUAGCUGGCAACUAGCUAACAAUCCAGAGCUCAGUUGGAUUAUGAGUGUUCUGAAUCUCAGCUUGAAUGAUCUCCCAAGUCAUUUAAAGAAUUGCUUCCUAUACUGCAGCCUUUUCCCUGAAGACUACAAGGUUAAAAGAAGAUGGAUCUGCAGGCUUUGGGUCGCAGAAGGUCUUGUUGAGGAAAGAGGUGCCGGGACAACAAUGGAGGAAGUUGCUGAGUGUUACCUAAAGGAGCUCACUCGUCGUUCUCUUCUUGAAGUUGCAGAAAGGAAUGUUCAUGGAAGAGCUAGCUCAUUUCAAAUGCAUGACCUUGUGCGCGAUGCAUGUCUGAUUGUUGCAAACAGAGAGAAGUUUGCUGUCGUAUACGGUGACCCUGGUAUAACCCAGGUUAACUCUGAAGUCCGCCGCUUGUUUGUUCAGAAGCAUGCUCGGUCUCUAAAGGUUGCUGCAGCGUCACGGAUCCGAUCUUUAAUCUUAUUUGACACACAAGUUGCAUCCUCUUGGAUAUAUGACAUUUCAUCAAAUUUCAGACUGAUCCGUGUCCUGUGUCUAAGGUUUGCUAACAUUCAUCAAGUGCCGGCUGUUGUCCCAGACUUGCUUAAUUUGCACUAUUUGGAUUUAGCUCACACAAAGGUUAAGCAUAUACCAGCAUCGCUCGGUAAACUUACGAACCUACAAGUUUUAGACCUGCGGUUCACCUACGUGGAGCAGCUGCCAUGGGAAAUAACAAACCUUACUAAAUUGAGGCAUCUGUAUGUAUACAUGCUCCGUGAUGUUCAAGAAAGGAUAUUUGACUGCUUUUCUGCUACAAAUAUCCCUGGCAAUAUUAGCCGUCUAAAGAAUCUGCAAAGCUUACAAUCUGUUUCGGCCAAUAAAGACCUACUUACGCAGCUCGGUGAGUUGACACUGAUGAGAAGUUUCGCUAUAAUGAAAAUGCGUCAAAACUACAUUGCAGAGUUAUGGGACUCCUUGGCCAGGAUGCCUAGCCUCAGUAGGUUGGUUAUUUUUGCAAACAGCAAGGAUGAGGUUCUUAAUCUGAUAAAGAUAAAGCCCUUGCGAAAUCUGAAGUUUUUUUGGUUGAGAGGGAGGUUGUAUGAGGGAGUGCUCCCGCAGAUGUUUGCAAGUUUUGAGAAGCUCGCUGCGUUGAAACUUGAUUGUUCUUGUCUGAAGAAAGAUCCUAUUAACUCCUUUGCUCACACGCUGAAUCUAGUGUAUCUGAAUCUUUGCAGAACUUAUGAUGGGGAACAAUUAACAUUUCGUGCAGGAUGGUUUCCCAAGCUCAGUUCUCUUGCAUUAGUUGACAUGGAACGUUUAAAUUCGAUUGAGAUUGAGGAAGGCACAAUGAAGGUUCUACAUACUUUGGAGAUUGUUGGUCUAAAGAGUCUGAAGAUAGUGCCUCGAGGCAUCAAGCACAUUAAGACACUACAGAAGAUGGUUCUAACAGAUAUGCGAAAGGAGUUCAUGGAUAGGCUGCAUGCGGAUGACAGUGACAUUGUUGAGCAUAUACCUGACAUCCAGAGUUUUGACUCCUUCGAUUCUGAAGCUGUUAAGAAGAUGGUUCUUCUGCCACAUCUUGCAAAGAAGUAUGGCACAGGCUGGUGGGAGCUUUGUUAA
rnacentral:rRNA from 1 species